rnacentral:lncRNA from 1 species
CCGUUUACAAGUCUCCACCACCUCCAACUCCUGUUUACAAAUCACCACCACCACCCAAGGACCCACACUACCCUCCACACACCCCAAUUUACAAGUCACCACCACCACCCAAAGAACCACACUACCCACCACAUACCCCAGUGUACAAGUCUCCACCACCACCAACUCCAGUAUACAAGUCACCACCACCACCCAAGAGGCCAUACCAUCCUCCACCAACACCAUAUCAUCCCACACCAGUUUAUAAGUCUCCACCACCACCAACUCCAGUGUACAAGUCACCACCACCCCCAACUCCCGUUUACAAAUCACCACCACCACCAGUGAAGCCAUACCAUCCCGCACCAGUAUACAAGUCUCCACCACCCCCAACUCCCAUUUACAAAUCACCACCACCACCAGUGAAGCCAUACCAUCCUAAACCUGUGUACAAGUCUCCACCACCACCAGUGAAGCCAUAUCAUCCUACACCCGUCUACAAGUCUCCACCACCACCAACUCCCGUCUACAAGUCACCACCACCACCAGUGAAGCCAUACCAUCCUACACCCGUCUACAAGUCUCCACCACCACCAACUCCCGUCUACAAGUCGCCACCACCACCAGUGAAGCCAUACCAUCCUACACCCGUAUACAAGUCUCCACCACCACCAACUCCCGUUUACAAGUCACCACCACCACCAGUGAAGCCAUAUCAUCCCUCACCAACACCAUACCACCCUACACCAGUAUACAAGUCUCCACCACCACCAACUCCCGUUUACAAGUCCCCACCACCACCAGUAAAGCCAUACCACCCUUCACCAACACCAUACCAUCCUAAACCAGUAUACAAGUCUCCACCACCACCAACUCCAGUCUACAAGUCUCCACCACCAACCCACUAUGUUUACUCCUCUCCCCCUCCUCCCUACCAUUACUAAGAAGUGAGUUUACUAUAUCUGAGGUAAUUAAGAUGAACUUAAACCUUUACAAACAUAUAUAACUAAAAUGCAAUGCAAUAAUAAGUUGCACAAUUAUUUCUUCUCUUUUGGUUAGUUUCUUUUAUAUGUUCUCAUUCACAAUAUUAUAUUGUUAUGCAGGAAAAGCAUAAUGUUGAGCUGAAAGAAAGGCAUUUUCCAUUUUCAAGAAGAAAAUUAUAGUAAAUAAUAAGGCUUACAGAAGAUCAGACGAAGUUCUUUUGUAGCUUCAUGUUAUCUAACUUGUCUUAGUGAUAUAUUGUUUUUGUACUCUAUUUUUAUAUAUUACUUUUAUGUGUCUUUGUGUAUGUUUGCUCACUUUCAAUCUUCUUGCAAAAUGCAGAGAUUAAUUAUGAGAUUAUCAUGAAUAAAAUAAGUUAUUACUACUCCCAUAUGUUUUAAUUAACUUCUCAUCACAAUAUAUAUUACCUUUGUUUUCAUUUUAUCAUGUGCUCAUAUUUAAUUUAUAAAAUUAUAAUGUGAACACAACAUUUACAAUUUUUUUCAAAUAGAACUAUUUAUAUAUAUAUAUAUAUAUAUAUAUAUAUAUAUAUAUAUAUAUAACAGGAUGCUCAAAUUAAUAACCAACGAAUUUCAUGUACUUAUGGUUAUAAUUCAAUCAAAUUCGAGUAUUGUAGUCCAUUUACGAUAACAAAAUAAAAAAAUUAUUUAAUAAUCACAUAAUACGUUGUUAAACUUUUGUAAAGUAUAUGAUUUCAGAAGCUCAAACAAAAAAUUACAAUCCAAAUAUUUUAAAAAUAAUAGUUUAAAAUUUUCACGCAUCACAUAAAUAUAUAUACUUACUCCAAGCCUAUCCUAUCCGAAAUUUUCAGCUAUUGAUGUAGCCUCUUGUCGAUACUACUAGUCUUCUCGCUACCUACUAGAAAAAUUCCAUCAAAAUAGAUUGAAUCGACGACCUAUACUUCAACUAAAGGCACGAGGGCGUAGCGAGCUUAACUAUUAUCGUAAUAUAAGAUGAAAUCCACCCAUUUUGAUAUCACAUACACGUCUUUAAAACUGAUAAAAUAAUGAGGUCUACUCUUAGUCAAAAUUAAAUGAUUGUAGACCACAUCUACAGUUCCCAAUUGUCAACAAUUCGAUCCUCCGCGUUUGUGGUAGGUUUCACUUUCAUUUCUUCGGUUCGAUUUUAUCAAAUUUUAAUUUGAUUCUUUAAUUUUUAAUUUUGGAAAAAUGUGUAUGGAAUGUUGAAUCGAAUUAAUUUGUUUAAUUAUCUUUUUAAAAAAUUAGUUUAAAACAAAAAUUGAAUUUCAAUAAAAUUUAAUGAAAAAAUUAUUCAAAUUGAUUAGGUAACCUUUUAAGUCAAAUAUCAAUAGUUGAAUAAUUUUAUAGGUAAAAUAUUCAUAAUUGAGUGACUUUGAGAUCAUACAAGAAAAUUGAGUGACUUUAUAAGAGAAAAAAUCUUAGUUAAAAUAAUUUUUUAUGAGAAAAAAUUCUUAAGUAACUUUAUGGCAUUAUAAAAAAAAAUUAACUCCUCUUUAAAUUAGAAUUACAAAAUUAAAAGUAAGUUCCAUUUUAAAGAUAAGGACAUUAUUAGUAAAAAUAAUUGGUGAACAUUUUCCAAUGAAAAAAUAAUAUUUUUCUAAAAUAGCUAAUAGAUGAUAAUUCGUUUCUUAGGCGUAAAAAUGUUAGGACAUGUUAGCCUCACUCAGUUGAAUAAAUUGCUCACCAAGAACAUAAUCAUUGAAUAUCCUAAAACAAAGUUUAAAAAUGAAUUAAAAAAAAAAUCAGUAAUAAAAAAAUACAUGCAAACUAUCUACAAAUGUAUUAUUAUUAAUUUUUAAAUAAAAAAGAGUAAAUGAAAGAGAAUAGAAGAUCUUUGACUUGUUAAUUAAGACAAAUAUUUGUCUAAUAUAAGUAUGUCGGUAAUAACAAUGUAGACUAAGAUCUGUACUUGUUUAUAUAUCCAUAUCCCUUAAUGUUAGGACCAUUAAAAUUAUUAAUUUAGUUUAACUAAUUAAUGGGAUCUUAUAAAUACAUUAAUAAUAUUACUGUUGUCGGUGAUUAAGUUAAUGCUAAUACUUAAUUGUUUUUUUUUUCCAAUUAAAAUGUCAAAGUCGUUAGAUGAACCAAAAUGGAAUCGUCCAUGAAGAUGGUACCAGAGUACAAUUAUUGAAUAAUAUCUUUUUUUUUUAACUUCAAAAAUUAAAGUGGAAUUCAAUUACCUACUUUAUAAAUGUAUGGCAACUUGGCAAUAAUUCAUUAAAUUUCAGGAAGAACAAAAACCAUCGAUAAUUGAGAUUAAUUUAAGAGAUAAAUGUCAAAAACACAUUUAAUAUAUUACAUAUUUUAAAAAAAUUCAUACUUCACCCCGUCUCUUUUCGAAAAAAUUGAUAUUAUUUUAUUUUUUUAAAAAUAGGAAUUCUAUCCAUCCUAUAUAACCUCCUGUACCUAAUUUUUUUAUAUAUAUUUUUGUGAGUUUGUAUUAGAUAUGUACAUAUAUUUUUAGGAAUUCUUUCUACUUGUGUACCAAAUAUAAAGUAAAUAAAACAUUUAUUUUUUAAAAAAGUCUUGAGGCCGUGGCAAAUAAAAAUUAUUUUCAAUAUGUUUAUAUCUAACACAAAAGGAGAAAAAGUUCGAAAGCGGACGGUUAGGUGGGGUAGGUAUAUUUUUUUUAAAGCAAAUUAGUAUAUAUAUUUUUUUGUGUGUGUGGGGUUGGGGGGGGGGGGGGGGUAAAAAAAAGUUAAAUACCUUUACAAAAGAAAUUUAAACAAAAAAAACUAAAAAAAAAAAGGGUGGGGGGAGGGUUGGACGGUUAGAGAAAGUGAUGGAGUGGGUAGGGAGGCGAGCAAAAUUGGGAGGGAGACGAGCAAACUUUGUACGUAUCGUAACCCAGAACAUGUGAAUCAAGCAAGAUACACACUAGGUACAUGUAUUUGUACGUGUCUAGAGGAAUUCACAUAUAUCUGGGAUAUCAUAUUCUUGGAAGAAUGACGAGCAAAAUGGAACAGAGGCAAGGAAGGAAAACGAGAUAUACUAUGUAUCCCAAAUACAUGCGAAUUCAAUAAAUAUAAUGUAUCUAGAACAAAUUACACCUAAAUUUGAUCGAGAUAUUCGAGAUACAUGUAUCUCAAGGCACCAAAAUCUGAUUUUUAUAUAUAUAUAUAUAUAUAUGAAAGUUUAUGUGAUCGAUAAAACUAAUAGCUUAGUAUUUCAAUGGUAUCAUUUCUACACAAAAUAGUUCUACCUCAAUUUAUGACAAAAAUGAUUUUAUUUAUAUGAGAUCAAAUUUAUAGGGUUUCGAUGACCAUGAUAAAACAGGAGAAUGUACAAAAAUACUUAAGUCCUUGUUUAUAAUAUACCAUUUUGCCAAAAUAUUUGUAGCUCGAUUAACUUUCUUAUAGAAAUGUUGAACCUUUCAAAUAAUAGUGCUUGAUAUAAUGAUAUAUUGUAAAUAUGAAAAGUGAUGUUUUUCAUUUUCCAAAGAAUACCACUAAAAUAGUUCUUUCUAACAUCAUGUAUAAAUUUUUAUGCAAGUAAAACAUUUUAAAUAAUAAUCUACGAAACUUGUUAUUUGAUCCUCAUAGAUAUUAUAACAUUUAGUUUUAGUGCUUAUGAAAAUAAUUUUGUUAGAACAAUAUUUCCAUUAUACGUAUAAAAAGUUCACAUUGUUCUUUGUUUUUAAAGAUACAAUAUCCUAAUUAUUUCAUUGUUAUUCCAUCUCUAUUAUUCAUUGAGCAUAAUUUGAAUAAUUUAUUUUUAUCAUAUUAUUACCAAUAUAAUCAUAGAAAGUCAAAUAAGAAAACUAAUUUUCCUUGUUACUAUUUCUUUGAUUAAUUGGAAUUAGAGACGACUAGUUAUUAUUAUGAGCAACUUUCACAUAUAGCAAACAAAAAAUUUAUAUUUGUAUGCUAAUUAAGCUCCAUAGCAAACAUAAAACUGUAUAAUUUGCUAUACAUAUACAAUUGUAUAAUUCGCUGGCCUAUUUCGCUGCAAUAGUAUAAUUUGUUUUGCAUACAGUUGAAUCGAAUUAAAAUGUAUGUAUAUUGCAUAAUUAUAAGUGUAUAGCAAGAAGAUAUAUGUUUUUCUCGCUUUAUACAAAAACAGAAACACAAUAUAUACACUUUUGUUGUAUAAAGCUAGAGAAAAUUGUAUUUCACUGCAAUUGUAUAAUUCGCAAUUGUAUAAUUCGUUGGCCUUUUUCUCUGCAAUAUUUGAAGUAAAAUGUUUGCAAAUUGUGUAAUUAAGUGUAUAACAUGAAGAUAUACAUUUUUGCAUGUGUAUAUACAAUUUUCUCUCGCUUUAUACAAAACAGAAACAGAAUUAUACACUUCUGUGUAUAAAGCGGGAGAGGCGAGCGAGAAUGGAGAGUGGCGAGCGAGAUUUUUGGGAGAGAGACGCUGGCAAAUUUUAGCUAAUGUUUGCUAUGGAGCAAAAUUAAAUCAAAUCCUAGCUAUUCCAUUUAAUUUAGGUUAUUAGUUUGCUAUUAUAUACAAUUUUUUCUAUUAUUAUUAAUCGGAUGCAUUUCACUCCGCACAUAAAUAACUUCCAAUAAUUUAAUAUUAAUUAUAUAUGCUCUAUUAAAUAAUUUUUAAAUAUAAAAUAAUAUUAUGGUAGAUUUGGGGGUGUCAAAAUCAAGUCAAUUUGUCAAACUCCCCUAUUCCAUUUAAUUUAUCAACUUUAACUCAUCUCAACCUAAUUUAGUUUAAUUCAUAUUUAAACAGUGAAUUGAUAUAUAAUUCAAAUUAGCUUAUCAAAAUAUUUUUAAAAUAAUAUUUUUAAAAUUUGAUAUGUUAUAUAUAGUCGUAAUAAAGAAAAAAAUAAACUUAUUAGGUGCUAAAAAAUUUUAAAAAGAGCAAACUAAACAACUAAAUUUUAGUAAAAAUUGAAGGGGUUAUAUUAGAAAUCGAAUUUAACUUAAUUAUGUCCAAUUCAUUUCAAUUCAAAUAGACAAUAGCUAAUGAUCCAUUCAUUUGUUAACUCAUUAAAAUUCAAUCGGUUCAAAUUCAGGUCAACUCUCCUAUACCAAACUUCUAGUAGAUCUUAAUCAAUAAAAAUUUGGACACGAAAACAAUUCAUUCAUUUCAUCCAUCAAAUUAUUAAUAAGUGACACCAUCUUAGCGACCCAGUUCAUUGUAUUAUAUUAAGAAAAAAUAACUUAAAUACACAAUUAUAAGUUUUAUAUUUUCUAAUUUUCCCUUCUUUUUUUUAAAUAUUACAUAAUUUCCUUUUUUUAAAAUUUUAGUGUAAGUUUAUAGAUACAUUACAUUCUCUCUCCUAUAGUACACAAUUACCCAUUUUAAUGCCUAUUUAUUCUCCAUUAAAACACUCAACCUUUUAAAUAAAAGACCUAAUUUUGAAUUUCAAAAUUCAAAAAAUUUCAAAUUUCAAAAAUCAGGUUCUCCCGUUUUUCUUACUCCAUCAAGUUUCACUUCCUUUUUUUCCAUAAUCAUCUUCCUUCUUCUUAACCUAGCAGAAUUUAUUGGUUUCUUCUUUUUAUUCUUAAUCCAUCAUCUUUUUCUUCUUAAUCUGUAAUCGUCUUAACCCAAUAUCUUUUUAUUAUUAAUCCAUCAUCAGUUCGUCUUUUCUUCUCUUUUUUCUUUUUGUUAAUUGUUCUAUUACAUUAUAGUAAUGGAUCCGUUAAUUAAUAGAAGGAUAUAUGAUUCCGACGAUGAAAAUUGGAAAGAAAAUAGGAAAAAGUUUUUGCAUGAUCCUAUGAAUCUUCAGAAGGAUUCAAACAAAGACUCUGGCGAAACAUCAAAAUCAAAGGUUAUCAAAAUACAACAAAAAAAGAAAAAAGAAGCAGCAAACAUUGUUGUUAGGCCUACAUUGUCUCGGGUUAGUAUUUUGGUACUUAAAACUGUUGUUGAAAUUAGUAAAAAUUUUAAGGAAUCUAGUGUGCUUGCCGAUACAUUUGAAUAAGUGUGUAUAGUGUUUUAGAGGUGAAUUGAUACAUGAAUUUAUUGUGUAUCAUAAUAUUUUAUAUGUAUCAUGAAGUUUUGAAAAUUGUUAUAAUGUAUCAUUCAAUAAGUUUAGUAAAUACGUCAUCAACUGUGCUUGAUGAUACAUAUAGAAUCAGUGUGUACGGUGUUUAGUCAAUUCACUGAUACAUGUAGGAGAUAUGUAUCACAUGUUUUGCAUAUAGUAUGAAUUUCUGAAAACUGAUAUCAUGUAUCAGUAAGGUAUUAGUUGUUUAGUUGAUGUACUGAUACAUGUUUGAAAAUUGUUAUAAUGUAUCAUUCACUAAGUUUAAUAAAUGCGUCAUCAACUGUACUUGAUGAUACAUAUAGAAUCAGUGUGUAUAUUGUUUAGUCGAUGUUUCUGAUACAUGCAUUAGAUACGAAAUUGAAUCUCCAACAACGAUUCCGUCGAUUUUGUAACUUUCAUACUGCAAUUCGUUCACCUAAAUUCCGGAAUGUCUCAUCAAAAUCGAAGUAUUCAUCUUGAAAAAUCCACUGUAACAACAAUAAAAUUACUGUAGUUCGAAAUUUAACAGAUUGUUCAAAAAAAUUGUUUUCAAAAUAGAUGACAUAAUCUUUGUUUUUCAAAAUUUGAAAUUAAUAUCCAAUUAAGUGCUUAUUUUAUGCUGAUUAAUGAUAUGUUACCGUAAAUUUAGCUGUUUUAUUAACAACAUUAACUGUACCGUUUUCCCCCUUUUUUUUCUCAACAGUUUAAAAUUACCAUGUAUCAUUUACCUUGUAUCACGAGAGUCUAAAGUAUCACGGCUCAACAAAUUUAAGAGAUUUUUUGUAAAUACUAAAUUUGUCUGGACAAAAUGAAAUUAUUGAAUUACACUAUAGGAUUCCUUAAAUUUUUACUUAUAUUAAUCUUUAGUAUGGGGACCUAAAUAUUUAACUUUCCAAUUCCUUUAGGGGUCAAUUUGAUUGAUUAUAAUGAGUGAAUUAUACUAUAAAAAUUGAAAUAAUAAUUAAUGUUUGUAGAGCAUAUUAAAUUAUUUUAUCAUGACUACAGUUGGUGUUAAUUGAAUUGGAAAUAAGAUAUAUACGGUAUAUAAUAUAUAUAGAAAUUUUAAUUUGAUUCGUUGAUUUUGUAUUUUCAGACAAAUUUUAUUUUUAAUUUUACCUUUCUUAAAGAACUUUUAGUUUGGUUGUUUUAUCAUGGAAUUAGCUAAUUAUUAAUCUAGAGAAUUGCUAUUCCAUAUACAACUUUGGUACAAUUAGAGAAUUAUAAUAUAAUUAAUUUCAAAAUUACUUAUAUUUAGGAACAAAAGUUUCAAUCAAACGAUAAAUAAUUGAAUAUUUUAUCUCAGAAUUAGUAUUAUUAUUAUUAAUACUAAUUAACGAUCCUAAGUUUCGAUUUUGUCACUCCGGUCCUUUUCUUUUAAUCUUUUCACAAACCAACUACAUUUGAUUGCAUUAACUAUAAAGUCCAUUUGCAUUAUUUUACAUAUCAAUUAAUAUUACUAAACUAAAUUUAUCUAUAAUUACUGAUUUAAAUGUAUACCUAUUUUCUCACCAACAUGGCAUAUAUAUUAGACUCAUUAAAAUUAAACGUUGCUUCAUGUGGUGUGUUCAAUUGGUUAGACUAUCUCGUCAAAUAUAUUGUUCGCAAAUAAACAAUGCUCAAAUGAAUGAUAUUAAUGUUGUUGGUGAAUAUUACAAGCUUCUCGUAACGUUUUGUUAGCUUACGUAUGAAUGUGCAAUAUUAUUUCUACUUAUUUUGUCAAACACUAAAAAAGUAAGUAAAAAACUUGUUUAUGUGAGAUAAUAUUUUUCUUUGUACCUAAAAAGUGCAUUAAUUUAUAUAGCUAAAAUAGUGCAAAGUUGAGGCCUCCACGCAUUAUUUUUGGUGAGAAGAAGAAUGAGAAGACUUUCUAUCUCUUUGAAUUAUUGCAUCACAAACAGUAUAGCUGCCUUAAUAGUUUAUUCAUUUGCUUAGCUUAAUGCCUCUAUCCAUCAAAUUAAAUAUACAACUAACAAGACAAAACCAAAUGAAAAUGCAUAACUCUAGGAUUUUACCUACAUUUGUAUAAAUUUUGGUAAGGGUAUCUGUCUAAAUGAAAACUAUAUAAAGGGGUUUGAGUGAAGCUUAAGAUGACAACAACUUUCUCCUUUGUUUCGAAUAUGGGGAAAAUGGCCUUUCUAGUUGCCACCCUUUUAGUGGUUUUAGUGUCACUUAGCUUAGCAUCUGAAAUUUCAGCUAAUUAUCAAUACUCAUCUCCCCCACCACCAAAGGAGCCAUACCACCCUUCACCAACACCAUAUCAUCCCACACCAGUUUACAAUUCUCCACCACCACCAAAAGAGCCAUACUACCCUCCACACACUCCAGUGUACAAGUCGCCACCACCCUCGACACCUAUUUACAAGUCGCCACCACCACCCAAAGAGCCAUACUACCCUCCACACACCCCUGCCUACAAGUCACCACCUCCACCAACUCCAGUUUACAGGUCGCCACCACCUCCCAAGGAGCCAUACUAUCCUCCACACACACCAACCUACAAGUCGCCACCUCCACCAACUCCCGUUUACAAGUCACCACCACCUCCAAAGGAACCAUACUACCCUCCACAUGCACCAACCUACAAGUCGCCACCACCUCCCAAGGAGCCAUACUACCCUCCCCACACCCCAACCUACAAGUCCUCACCUCCACCAACUCCGUUUUACAAUUCACCACCACCUCCCAAGGAACCAUACUACCCUCCUCACACACCAACCUACAAGUCGCCACCCCCACACAAGGAUCCAUACUACCCUCCACACACACCAACCUAUAAGUCACCACCUCUACCAACUCCUGUUUACAAGUUGCCACAACCACCCAAGGAGCCAUAUUACCCUCCACACACACCAACCUACAAGUCACCACCUCCACCAACUCCCAUUUACAAGUCACCACCACCUCCCAAGGAGCCAUACUACCCUCCACACACACCAACCUACAAGUUACCACCUCCACCAACUCCCGUUUAUAAGUCGUCGCCACCACCAUCCAAAGAGCCAUACUACCCUCCACACACACCAACCUACAAGUCACCACCUCCACCACCUCCCGUUUAUAAGUCUCCACCACCACCCAAGGAGCCAUACUACCCUCCACACACACCGACCUACAAGUCACCACCUCCACCAACUCCCGUUUACAAGUCCCCACCACCUCCUAAGGAGCCAUACUACCCUCCACACACACCGACCUACAAGUCACCACCUCCACCAACUCCCGUUUACAAGUCCCCACCACCUCCUAAGGAGCCAUACUACCCUCCACACACACCAACCUACAAGUCACAACCUCCACUAACUCCCGUUUAUAAGUCGUCGCCACCACCACCCAAGGAGCCAUACUACCCUCCACACACACUAACCUACAAGUCACCACCUCCACCAACUCCUGUUUAUAAGUCGCCACCACCACCCAAGGAUCCAUACUACCCUCCAAACACCCCAACUUACAAGUCGCCACCUCCACCAACUCUCAUUUACAAGGUUCCACCACCAGCCAAGGAGCCAUACUACCCUCCACACACACCGACCUACAAGUCACCACCUCCACCGACUCCCCUUUAUAAGUCCCCACCACCUCCUAAGGAGCCAUACUACCCUCCACACACACCAACCUACAAGUCACCACCUCCACCAACUCCCGUUUAUAAGUCGUCGCCACCACUACCCAAGGAGCCAUACUACCCUUCACACACACCAACCUACAAGUCACCACCUCCACCAACUCCCGUUUAUAAGUCUCCACCACCAACCAAGGAUCCAUACUACCCUCCACACGCCCCAACCUACAAGUCGCCACCUCCACCACCUCCCACUUACAAGUCGCCACCACCACCAAAGGAGCCAUACUACCCUCCACACACACCAACCUACAAGUCAUCACCUCCACCAACUCUCAUUUAUAAGUUGUUGCCACCACCACCCAAAGAGCCGUACUACCCUCCACACACACCAACCUACAAGUCACCACGUCCACCAACUCCCAUUUAUAAGUCGUCGCCGCCGCCACCCAAGGAGCCAUACUACCCUCCACACACACCAACCUACAAGUCACCACCUCCACCAACUCCCGUUUAUAAGUCGCCACCACCACCCAAGGAUCCAUACUACCCUCCACACACCCCAACCUACAAGUCGCCACCUCCACCAACUCCCGUUUACAAGUCGCCACCACCACCCAAGGAGCCAUACUACCCUCCUCACACACCAACCUAUAAGUCACCACCUCCACCAAGUCCCGUUUACAAGUCGCCACCACCACCCAAGGAUCCAUACUAUCCUCCACACACCCCAACCUACAAGUCGCCACCUCCACCAACUCCCGUUUACAAGUCGCCACCACCACCCAAGGAGCCAUACUACCCUCCUCACACACCAACCUAUAAGUCACCACCUCCACCAAGUCCCGUUUACAAGUCGCCACCACCACCCAAGGAGCCAGACUACCCUCCACACACCCCAUCCUACAAGUUACCACCUCCACCAAUUCCCAUUUACAAGUCGCCACCACCACCAACUCCUGCCUACAACUCUCCUCCACCACCUUACUAUCUUUACACCUCUCCCCCUCCUCCCUACCAUUACUAAAAAGCCACUUCAUUAUAUCGAGGUAAUUAAGACAAACUAAAACUAUUACUAAUGAUGUGUCUAAAAUGCAAAGCAAUAAGUUGCUCAAUUUCCUCAUGCAAAUCAUUAAUAUAUAGACCUAUGCAGUCUAUAUUCUUAUUUGGAUAACUUUAAUUACAUGUUCUCAUUCACAAAAUUAUAUUCUUAUGCAGGAAAAGCAAAAUGUUGAGCUUAAAGAAAGGCAUUUUACAUUUUCGAGAGACGAUGAAAAAAGAAGAAAACUAUAGUAAAUAAUAAGCCCCACAUAAGUCGAAGUUCUUUUGUAGCUUCAUGUUAUCUAAGCUAGUGAUACUGUUUGUACUCUAUUAUUUAUAUUUGUAUUUUUACUUUUAUGUCUUUCUGUAUGUUUGCUCAGUUUUAAUAUCCUAGCAAAAUGCAAAGAUUAAUUAUGAGAUGAAUAAAAUAAGUUAUUACUAUUAUACAGUUUUAUGUUUUCCUUCUCUCUGAUCUAUUCGAUCUUAAUUAGUCCUUUUUUUGGUCUUAUUUCUUCAUCUUUAUAUCGAAGGCGAGGCUCAACGAUUACAUUAAAUCAAUCAUCAUACAGAUAAAAUUGAUGACAAAUUUAACGUUAAGAUAUCAUCAAAAUCUCAAUAACAAUUUACAGAUCGAAAUCUUAGUAUCGAUUGAUUAAUAACCUAAACUUUCGCCAUGAAGACUUGAAUCCCUAAUCCCGUCCUUCAUUUCCCAUAUCUCUACCCACACAUUAUCUUUUAAGAAAGAAGAAGUAACAACCAAAAUAAACAUUAUAUCUAAAGUGAUAAUAUGAUAACAAUACAAAUAGGCAACAAUACAAUUAAAGAAAAAAAAAAAAGUUACUCCCACGAUGUCAACACGUAUGCUAGACUGACCAAUAAAGUUAGACAAAUUUCAAAAUUGACAAUAGCAAAGUAUACGUACGUAGCAUAUAGCAACCAAUCAAUGAAUAAAUUAUUCCUAAAGUAGUCAUUAUCAUCUCAUAUACUAUAUUUGGUAAAAUACUAAGAUUAAGUCAACAUAAUUCAGUCUACCGUUUGGUAAUUUAUAACAAAUAGUGACAAUAUUAAUAAAGUGAUUGGUGCUCUCUUUUGGCCCACCCCCAAGAAGAUCGUGAACGCAUAUUUUAAAUUUGAUUUGAUUACCACUUUUUAAUAUCUUUAAAAUAAAACUUGUAUAUUUAAAAAAUUAAAAAUUAUUAUUAUUAUUUAAUUAUAUAAAUAAAAUAUUUUAAAAUACAUUAGUAUCUUAAUAGAGAAAAGAUUAAAAAAUUAAAAAUUAUUAUUAUUAUUUAAUUAUAUAAAUAAAAUAUUUUAAAAUACAUUAGUAUCUUAAUAGAGAAAAGAUUGUUUGUUUGAUUUUCUAAAGUAACAGAGUCGGAUGAGAUAGUUGAUUAAUUUGACGGUUUGAAUAAUAUAAUCUUCUUGAUAAAUAAUCAUCAACCCAUCAUGCAUGUUUUAUAUUUAUUGAUAGAAACUUUGAUGGAUUGAUUUGUUGGUGCCGCCUCAACAUAGAGAAAAGAAAAAGAACAAGUUAUUUCAAUCUAUUACACUUUAGAGAUUAAAAAAAACAUUUUUUAAAGCAGUGAUAAAAUUGAUAAUAAUAAGUUGUUAAUAUGUUUGGCAAAAAGAGUGUCGAUUAACUAUUUUUUGCUAUAGUAUUGAAAUAUCUUUAGAUUUUUUAACCCCCAAAAAAGGUUUAAAACUACCUCUGUAAAGAAAAGGAGUUUAUUUUUAGAAAAUAUAUCUCGAGAAAUAAAGUAAGAUAAAGGAUAAAAUCGUGAAAGAAAAAUGUUGAUAAGCAAACAAAAAAAUCAAAGUUAGGAAUGACCAAUUUAUUGAAUAUAACUAAAUUGUCUUAAAUAAGCAACUUAGCUUAUAAAUAUAUAUAUAAAAUUAUUUUUAUAUCAGUUUGAUCAAUUAAUAAUAAAUUGAUUAUGCAUGAAAUAAUAGGAAGUGUUCUAAUUAAAAAGAAUACAAGGAAAAAGGUGCAGUAUUGUGUACGAUCGACCAAACAUACAUUCGUUAUUAAUUAUUAUUAAGCUAAUUAGACAACGCUAUCUUAUUAAUUUAUUAUAGAGCUGUCGAUAUUAGUUUAGAUAAUUAAAUUAUAUAAAAUUCAUUUAAUUCAAUCAAAGCUUGACUUGUUAAAUGUUAGGUUUAUGAUAUGAUUAAUUAUAUAUAUAAUUCACUAUGAUUUUACGCGACUUGUUAAUCAAGACCUUAUUUAACAUAUUGAUUAAGUUAUUAGUUAUAUAACUAAUAAAAAUAUAUUUUAAAUAAUAAAUGGUUAUUGAGAGAAAACUUCCAUGCAAUUAUCAUAAUAAGAAACUUCUUAAGAAAUUGUCUCUAAUUAGAUAAUUGGAUGGUGACUCUUUUGUUUAAAAAAAAUUGAAUCAAUCAAGAUUUUAUUGCUAUUAAUUGUGAACUACAAUUUGUAGAAGGGGAGCAUAAACCUAGAUAUUAACUAUGCACAACAUGAGUGUGCAAGAUUAUUUUGUUUAUUUAUUUUGAUUCAAUUCAGUAUCCGAUAUUCAUAUUAGAUUCUCAAUCAAAUUUGUAUUUACAUUAAAAAAAUUCAGUGCUCCUUAACAGAGGCAACAACUCUGUACUCAGGAGAACUCGAAUUCGAGACCUCUAAACAAGAAUAAAGAAGUAUUUGUUAUUCCAUAACAAUUUUUAUUGAUAAAAGAAACUCGUAGUAUCAUGAAAAGAUAAUAGAUUAUCUAGGCCUAAUGGAAAAUUCAGUCAAGCUUUAGAGGGAAAAUUAUGGCAUAGCAAAGUUACAAACUUUAUAGUAUGAUUAACUUAAUUACAAGACCGUUAAAUUGAAUGCAACCCCAAUAACUUUUCUUUCAAUAAAUAUUUGGCCUUUGUGAGCUUUAUUUGAACUCUCUCUUCCUUCAUAAACUUGACCAUCAGCAAUAUUUUCCUUUCCUCUUUUAUUUUAUUGCUCACUCGAUAGUCAGCUUUUAAGAUUGACUUGAUGUUUCGAUAAGCGAAAGGUGUAAAUCCAGAUUAUGCUCAAGUAUCUAAGUGAUAUAUGAAUUGCAAACUUUUUGCAUAUGCAUUUGAGAAGAAAAUAAUUAUCACAAGAAAAUAAAUAAUUAGCAUGCGGUAAAUUAUUAACGUAGUUAAAUAAUGUUAUAGUCUUAUAAAUUAAAAUAAAGACAAGGCAACAAUUGUCACUAAUUAUUUGUAUUGUUAGCAACAAAAACUAAGAGAACAUAAAUAAUAUAUACUUAAUGGCUCAAUUUUACACCAUUUCACUAUAAAUAACUUUAUGUCGCUAAUUUGAUUACAUAUUUUUGUGACGAAACUUAUUUUGUAUCCAAACUUAAACGAAUUUAAAGAUAAAUAUGAUUUAUCAUAAAUAUUCAGUAAAAACAGGGAGAAAAUUUAUCAUCAUCAAUAUCCUCAAUUUCGUCGCUAAAAUUACCUUACAAUUUGAUUUAAUUAUAAAUUGAAAAUCAAAUUUAAAAAUGAUUAAAUUUGUGAUGUUGGUGCAAAAUGCACGUAUCAAAUUAAACCCACCUUUAGGUCUAAGAAAAUGGUGAGCACAUCUUAACCAUUAUUCUUCAACUCAUUUCAUCUCUUCCUCAAUUAAUUAUGCAAAUAAUAAAAAUAUUUCUUUUUCCAUUCAAUGUCUGUGUUUUAUAUUGAAGUUCCAAUUAACUCUAGAUUAGAAACCGGAGGCGAGGGCACAUUUAAAGGUGAUGCUUCCUAUACGACUCAUGUAGUAAAAAAAAUUAUAAAAAAAACCACCACAAUAAUUAUAUACGCUUCAAAAAAAAGAAGAGAAUAGAAUAGCAUCCUAUUCAUAGAGAAAACUAUACUUGAUAGUUAACUGGUAGCAAAACUUUUGCACAAGAUUAAUUAUAUUUGUAUAGUUGAUUUAUUCAAGGUUUUAAUUAGAAGAGGUCUAGGAUUCUAUUUAUUUUUAUCCAUAUUUUUUAAACAAUAAAUUUGCUACAAAAGGAUGUCUGUGACAAAUCAUGUCUCCUAAAUAUAAGCACUUGUGUGAAGGUUAGUUGAGUGUAAAGUUGAGGCAUCCACGCAUUUUUUUUUUCAAAGGUUCUGUAAAAAGAAAACAAGAUUUUGUAGCUCUUUGAAUCAUUCUGUCACAAACAGUAUAGUUCCCUUAAUAGUUUAUACAUUUGCUUAGGAUGAUGCCUCUAUAUAUCUAUCAAAUUAAAUAUACAAACUAAAGUCAAAAUUGAGCCAACAACAUGUCAAGACUAAAUAAACAUAUGCAUAACUCUACCAUAUUACCUACAUUUGUAUAAAUUUUGGUAAGGGUAAUUUCUAAAUGAAGUCUAUAUAAAGGGGUUUGGGUGAAGCUUAAGAGGACAAAAACUUCUCUCCUUUGUUUCAAAUAUAGGGAAAAUGGCCUCUCUAGUUGCAACUCUUUUAGUGGUUUUAGUGUCACUUAGCUUACCAUCCGAAAGUUCAGCUAAUUAUCAAUACACAUCUCCCCCACCACCAAAGGAGUCAUACCACCCUUCACCAACACCUUAUCAUCCCGUACCACUUUACAAGUCUCCACCACUGCCAACUCCAGUUUACAAUUUUCCACCACCACCCAGAGAGACGUACUACCCUCCACACACUCCAGUGUACAUGCCGUCACCACCCUCGACACAAAUUUACAAGUCGCCACCACCACCCAAGGAGCCAUAUUACCCUCCACACACCCCAACCUACAAGUCGCCACCUCCACCAACUCCUAUUUACAAGUCUCCACCGCCGCCAACUCCCUUUUACAAUUCUCCACCACCACCCAAGGAGCCAUACUACACUUCGCCACCUCCACCAACUCCUACUUACAAGUACCCACCGCCACCAACUCCGGUUUACAAUUCUCCACCACCACCUAAGGAGCCAUACUACCCUCCACACACCCCAACCUACAAGUCGCCACCUCCACCAACUCCUGCUUACAAGUCUCUACCGCCGCCAAUUCCAGUUCACAAUUCUCCACCAUCACCCAAGGAGCCAUACUACCCUCCACACACCCCAACCUACAAGUCGCCACCUCCACCAACUCCUGCUUACAAGUCUCUACCGCUGCCAAUUCCAGUUCACAAUUCUCCACCAUCACCCAAGGAGCCAUACAACCCUCCACACACCCCAACCUACAAGUCGCCACCUCCACCAACUCUUGCUUACAAGUCUCCACCGCCACCAACUCCGAUUUACAAUUCUCCACCACCACCCAAGGAGCCAUACUACCCUCCACAUACCCCAACCUACAAGUCGCCACCUCCACCAACUCCCAUUUACAAGUCGCCACCGUCACCAACUCCGGUUUACGAUUCUCCACCACCACCCAAGGAGCUAUACUACCCUCCACACACCUCAACCUACAAGUCGCCACCACCACCGAAUGAGCCAUACUACCCUCCACACACACCAACAUACAAGUCGCCACCUCCACCAAUUCCAAUCUACAAGUCACCACCUCUUCCAACUCCUAUUUACAAGUCGCCACCACCACCCAAGGAGCCAUACUACCCUCCACAUACUCCACUUUCACCGUCUUCAGUUUAUAAGUCUCCACCUCCACCAACUCAUGUUUACAAGUCGCCGCCACCACCUAUAGAGCCAUACUACCCUCCACACACCCCAAUCUAUAAGUCGCCACCUCCACCGAUUCCUGUUUACAAUUCACCACCUCCACUAACUCCAGUUUAUAAGUCACCACCACCACCCAAAGAGCCUCACUACCCUCCACACACCCCAGUGUAUAAGUCACCACCACCACCCAAGGAGCCAUACUAUUCUCCACAAAAUCCAGUCUACAAGUCGCCACCUCCACCAACUCCCAGUUACAAGUCGCCAACACCACCCAAGGAGCCAUAUUAUCCUCCACAUACCCCAACUUACAAGUCACCACCUCCACCAACUCCAGUAUACAAGUCGCCGCCACCACCCAAGGAGCCAUACUACCCUCCACACACCCCGACCUACAAGUCGCCACCACCACCGAAGGAGUCAUACUAUCCUCCACACACCCCAACCUACAAGUCACCACCUCCACCAACUCCUGUUUCCAGCUCUCCACCACCACCAACUCCAGUCUACAAGUUUCCACCACCAACAGAUUAUGUUUACACCUCUCCCCCUCCUCCCUACUAUUACUAAGAAGAGAUUUCAUUAUAUCUAAGGUAAUUAAACCAAACUAAAACUUUUAAUUAUGAUAUGUCUAUAGAAGUUGCACAAUUUCUUCGUUCGAAUAAUUAAUAUAGACCUGUAUACUGUCUACAUCUUAUUUGGUUUAGGUUCUAUUAUAUGUUCUCAUUCACAAUACUAAUUAUAUUCUUAUGCAGGAAAGAUGCAGAAUGUUGAGCUAAAAGAAAAUAAGCCCACACAGGAGGCAAAGUUUUUUUGUAGCUUCAUUUUGUAUAAGUUAUUGUUUGUACCCUAUAUUAUAUUUAUAUUUUACUUCUAUUUAUUUGUGUAAUAUGUUUGUUCGAUCUCCUUGCAACAUGCAGCCAUUAUGAGAUGUAUAAAAUAUGUUAUUACUAUAUAUACUGUCUUUUUUCUUAUUUUUGUCAUCCCUUAUAUUGAGUUAUAUUUAUAAGUUGAGCCUCUUAUCAAUUACAUUAAAUCAGUUGCUAUAAAAAAUGUGGUUUUUCACCACCAAUAAGUUCAACGAUAAGCUACAAUCAACUGGGAAUAUUAGUAGCUUCAAUAGAAAAUGUUAAUAGCUCCGUUGAUUAGUUAUUUGAACUUUUUAUCUUUAUUACACGUCGCAAUAACAAUCAAUGUAAAUAUUAUAUCUAACCUCUGGACUUAUGCCCACAUAAUUCCUCAAUGCACCCACACAAAAUAUUGAAAUUAAAUAUUAUUACUUGCCUAUUUCUCUUAUCUUGAUUAUUAGUUUUCAGGGAUGAAAGUUUAAUUGUUACACCUUUCACUUUUUUAAAAAAAAAAAAAAGGAAUGGACAACCAACUGAUUUCGUAUCUGAUUGUAGUUGUUGAAGGCAUAUUGUAAUAAUUAAAUUUUCGUUUUUGAAAAAUAAUAAUCAAAAAAUAGAAAAUAUCAAUAAAUAAUAAUAUUUAAUUUUAUUUAUUUGUGCACGAUUUAACAAUCAUUAGAGAUUUCACACUAAAAUGUUUAAUUUUUUUGUUUUUUCUUUUUUUCUCUUCAUGACUAUCAACUCAAAAGUUUUGCUUUUUACCUGAAUUGAUGGAAUACUUGUUGAAAGUUUACCACGAAUGCAUAAUCAAUUUUUAAUCACAUUCGAGGAGGCAUAAAACGACUCACAACUUGAAGGCAAAAAAGAGUUGUAUGCAGAAGACUGCAAAUCAUUAUUGAAUAUUUUUUUAUAUAGGCAUCAGCUAGGGUUUGAAAUAUUUGAUCUAAUCGACUUUAGGUUUGAGAAUAUGAGUUGUGUUGGAUUAGACUUGUAAAUUUAAUAAUGGACUAACCUAAAUUUAAUCGAAAAAUUACCUAACUACAUAUAUAUUUUUUUAUCCUAUUUUCUAUUAUUUCAUAUAAUUUAUAAAAAUUACAAAAAUCUUUUUUUUCUCUCAAAUUCGCUCCUUUCAAGAUUCAUAACUUUAAAUCUUCCAACUCACAAUUUCUCCUUUUUCUCAGGCCUAUAAUCGCUCUACUAUAUUACUAGUUACCUUCAUCUCCUAUAUUUUGAAUUUUAGAUAUUUUUCUCUCUCCCGUUUAUAAUUUAAUUGAGUAUGUAUCAUAUGUUUGUUAUGUAUGUGAAGUACUAUUUUAUAACUAAAUCAUUGUUUAUCAUAUUCAUAAGUUUUUUUUAUAUGAUACAUAGCUAUGUCAAAUUAUACCGGCAUGAUACAUAAAUACUAAUUUAUGCUACAUGUAACGAUCUCAAAUCAAACAACUUAUGAGCAACAAUUACAUGUUAAAUGUAUCCCGUAACAAUACGAUACUUAUUAAUUUAAACGAGAUAAAUAAAUAGUAAUGUAUCAUGUAUUAGUUUUUAGAUGUGAUACAUAAAUUCGAAUUUGGACUACAUGUAUUAAUUACAUAGAAACUACCACGCGGUGAUGUAUCCAUCACAAAUGUAACAUCUUAUGGGCAACAAUUACUUAUUUAAUGUAUCUACUAUAAAUACAAUACUAAUCAAUUGAGACGAGAUACACAAAUAGUAAUGUAUCAUGCAAAAAAAUUUUUUACUUGAUAUGUGAAUUCGAAUUUAUACUAAAUGUAUCAAUUACAUAGCAACUACCACAUUGUAAUGUAUCGAUCUCGAAUUCAACAUCUUAUGGACUAUAAUUAUUUAUUUAGUGUAUUUAGUAUAAAUACAAUACUUAUCAAUUUAAACAAGAUACAUAAAAGUAAAAUGCUAAGUAGACAAGAUAUUCAUGAUAAUAUUCUCAAUUUUUUUGAGAUUCUUCAAUAAACUAGGAGAAGAAUUCUGAAUCUCAAAAUUUACAACAAUUUUGAAUCAAAAUUAAAAAGAUCUUUGAUGAACUGGAGAACAAAGAAUCUUAAUCUCAAAAUUUUUAACAAUCUUGAAUCAAAACUGAAAGGAAUAUCUUUGAUGAUCUUGAAGAUUCAAAAGAAAAUUGUUUAUCCAACAACAAUUUUGUCACUUUUGUAUCAUUCAUAAUUCACUUCGCUUACCCAAAAUUUCGACAAAAGUUUUUGGAUCAAAUGUGAAAGGUUUCUUUGUUGAACGGGGGGAUCAACUAGAAAUUUUAAAUUUCUUCGUUCUGUAUGGAUUUGAUUCUGUAUGAUUGAGAGUAAAAAGAAAUAUAAGCGUAAUUUAUGGAAUUUAAUUAGUUUUCAGAUUUUAUUUUCUUUUUAGCGCAACAGAAAGAUUCUUUUUGUAUUAAAAUUAGUGUAUCUAGAUGGUGGUGACUUAUGUAUUUGUUGAAGGAAGCUGAUGGAACAGGUUUGGUAGUAUAUGACUUUUUUCCUAUAUAAGGAUGAUGUAACUCAAUCAUUCAUUCAUCAAUAUAAUCCUUGAUUCUUCACAUACAUAUCUGUGAGAAUUCUACAUCCGAAAGGUACAAAUUUUAACGGAUCAUUUUAUUAGAAAAAAAUAGAGAUAAAAUAUAAUGUAUUCUUUACAUUACGAAGUUUACGUAAGUUAAUCAAAUUUGAUUAAACUUCCCUUAAAUCAUAAAAGUUUAACUUAAUAUUAUUCCAACUUUAUUAUAGAUAUAUAUAAUUGGAAAAAAAAACAAACAAAAUAGAACAUAAGAUCUCGAUCGCUGGACAAAUGUUUGUCUAUAAUAAAUAAAUAUGUCGGUAAUAAUUAUUGACUAGGUCAAUGUAGCUAAGGUUUGUACUUGUUUAUACUUACAUCCUAUCUCUUGGGACGAUUAAAAAAAUAUUAGUUUAGCUUAUUUAAUAAUGGAAUCUUAUAUGGAGUUUACUAAUUUUAUCUUUGUCGGUGAUUAAGUUAUACAAAUGAUUAAUUAUUUUUCUAAUUAAAAAGUCAAAAGUCAUUAUUGGAUGAACCAAGAAUCUUCCAUGUAUUUGAAUACUUUUUCUGUCUCCCUUAAAUCGUGAUGGCUUUUUUGUAAGUUAAAUAAUAAAAAAUUUUAUUAAUGUUUUGUUGAUAUAAGAAAUUAUAAAAUAAGUAUUUUUGUAUAAUAUAUUUAAAUUUUUAAUUUAAAUUUAAAUUUUAAAAAUUAGUUAUAUUAACUGUUAAAAAACCGUACAACGACUAAAACGGGACGGCUUGUUCUCUUCUUUCUUUUAUUAUAAAUAAAAAUAAAAAUUUAACUAAUGUGCAAUCAAUAAUGUUAAUUAUUUAUUCAAAGUUUAAAUUAAACACAUAAAAGUGAAAAGUAUAAAGCCUUCAACCGAUUCGAUUCAUUUAAUUAUGUUUCUUAAGAUAUUCCAUAUUUUCAAAUUUUAAAGAGAACUAUAAAUUCCUACAUUUAAAACUACAUACAUUAUUAAAAUGUGCCUAUAUAACACGCAUUUAAAUUAGUUGUGCUCAAAUAUAGAUAUCAAACAAGGAAUAAAACAUAAAGUGAAUUACUUAAACUAUAAUUAUAUAUUAAGUAAUUAAAUCAAAUCGUGUAAUUUAAUUAAUUAUACUACCAAAAUAUUAACUUCAACGAUAUGAAGUAACGCAAUGUACCUUUAAAGUUUCACAAAAUUUAAUUAGGUUGUAAGGUUUGAUUCUUGAAAUUUAGAAAUUAUUUUCAAGUGAUUUGAGUACAUUGAAAGUACCUAAGUCAAUAAAGUCAAAAAUAAAUUAAUUUUUACUUUGUAUCGUGACCUGUAUUCUACAUCUUGUGUGUUCCCACGAUAAUAAACUAAGAUACCAAAAAUUUCAUAGAUAUUAUAUUUAAUCAUAUAAAUUUUUUCAAUAUUGAGCUACAUAAUCCGUUGAAUUUUUUGCCCUCUAUUCCCACCUAAAACUAAAAAGAAAGAACAACAUUAAUUGCUUUAUUUAGUAAUGAAAGUGGGUCAUUAUAUAUAUAUAUAUAUAUAUAUAUAUAUAUAUAUAUAUAUAUAUAUAUAUAUAUAUAUAUAUAUUAUUUUAUUUUAUUUUAUUUUAUUUUUUUGACAACUAGGGAAACCUGAGCCGCUAUCCUAUAAAAUAGCUCGCAAAUCACAUAGGAGAGGUAACCUGCACUAGGCAAGCCUGGUGCAACGAGCUUGACCCAGAAGGCAAAUCUCUUGCUUUCGCUGGCAAGGGGUUUCAAACUUGAGACCUCCAAUAUGGAAGUUUCAAGCUCAAACCAUUGGGCCACCCCGAAGGGUUAUAUAUAUAUAACUUUUAGUAAUAUUAGAUAUUGACAUUAAUAAAGAGUGUUAAAGUCUUUAUCGGUAUCAGUUAAGUGUCAUUAGAACCAAUGUUGCUAAAGGCUUUAGGGACACAUACAAAGAAAGUUAUUGCCGCUAAAAACACUUAUUUGGCGACGUUUGAAAAUUAAUUGCCAAUAAUGAUUAUUUUUAAUAUAGUGUAUAUAUGUAUUAUUGUUUUAAAUCUCUAUACUAUUUAAGCACUAAAGGUAAUUAAAGGUUAGUUUAUCAAUCAAAAUCAAAAAAAAAUAAAUUGUUACUCCCUUAGUUCGUUUCAUAGUAGUUGAUCAUCUUACUAAAAAUAAUUGUUACACAUUAAUUGUCCAUCUUAUUAAAUCAAGAAAUCAAUAAUUAAUUUUUUCCUAUAUUAUCUAUUCAGAUAAUUCUUUUGAAAGUAUUAACAUUUGUUUGUAAAAUGUAAAAGAAGUUUUCAAGGGGUGAAUUAAUAAAAUUAUCUAGCUAGUUAAUAAAAAUGAUGGGUGAAAUAAUAUUAUCUAGCUACUUAAUAAAAAUAAUCAACUAAUAUGAGACACAUAAAAAUAGAAUUCUUCAAAUAUUUUGUAACAAAAAAAAAAAGAAAAAAGGCAGUGUACACUGAUUUUUGUAACUAAAAAUCGUGCGAAGUUGAGGGAUGCACGCAUUUUUUUCAAAGAUUUUGUAUGUAUGUAAUGUAAAAGCUUGGAAGAAAAAGAAGACUUUGUAGCUCUUUGAAUUAUUGCAUCACAAGAUGUAAAGAAAAUUGUAUGGUUGUCUUAAUAGUUUAUACAUUUUUGCUUAGCUUGCACCCUCUAUCCAAUAAAUAAAGUCAAAUUGAGCCAACAACAUGACAAAACCAAUUAUAAAAAUGAAUAAAAACUUUACCUACAUUUAUGUAAAUCUUGGUAAGGGUAAUUGUCGAAAUGAAAGCUAUAUAAAGGGGUUUGAGUGAAACUUAAAGAGGACACCAACUUCUCUUCUUUGGUUUCAAAUAUGGGGAAAAUGGCCUCUCUAGUUGCUACUCUUUUAGUGGUUUUAGUGUCACUUAGCUUUGCUUCCGAAAGCUCAGCAAACUAUCAAUACUCAUCUCCUCCACCACCAAAGAAGCCAUACCACCCUUCACCAACACCUUAUCAUCUCGCACCAGUUUACAGAUCACCACCACCACCAACUCCACUUUACAAGUCACCACCACCACCUAAGGAGCCACACUAUCCUCCACACACCCCGGUUUACAAGUCGCCACCUCCUCCAGCUCCAAUUUACAAGUCACCACCACCACCGGUGAAGCCAUACCAUCCAGCACCAGUUUAUAAGUCACCACCACCCCCUACGCCUGUUUACAAGUCACCACCACCACCAGUGAAGCCACACCAUCCUGCACCAGUAUACAAGUCUCCACCACCACCAACUCCAGUUUAUAAGUCACCACCUCCUCCAACACCCGUUUACAAGUCACCACCACCACCAGUGAAGCCAUACCAUCCUGCACCAGUAUACAAGUCACCACCACCUCCAACACCCAUUUACAAGUCACCACCACCACCAGUGAAGCCAUACCAUCCUGCACCAGUAUACAAGUCACCACCACCUCCAACACCCGUUUACAUGUCACCACCACCACCAGUGAAGCCAUACCAUCCUGCACCAGUAUACAAGUCACCACCACCUCUAACACCCGUUUACAAGUCACCACCACCACCAGUGAAGCCAUACCAUCCUGCACCAGUAUACAAAUCUCCACCACCACCAACUCCAAUUUACAAGUCACCUCCACCACCAGUGAAGCCAUACCAUCCUGCACCAGUAUACAAGUCUCCACCACCACCAACUCCAGUUUAUAAGUCACCACCACCACCGGUGAAGCCAUACCAUCCUACACCUGUGUACAAGUCUCCACCACCACCAACUCCUGUUUACAUGUCCCCACCACCACCAGUGAAGCCAUACCAUCCUACACCUGUGUACAAUUCUCCACCACCACCAACUCCCGUUUACAUGUCCCCACCACCACCAGUGAAGCCAUAUCAUCCUACACC